UUUAAUAAACACACGCCUUAUCCUGAGGGUGAAAAUGUAGCGUAAUCAUUUGGCAUAUAAUUGAUGUCUGGUAUGAAAGGUGACACGACUUAUACACUGUCUCAACUUUAAAGCUAAUGAACUUAGAAUUAAAAUAUGGUGAAAAUACUAUAUUAAAAGUACAAGACGAGAAGUCCCUAUAAACUUUUACUAUUUAAUAAAGAUAUAAUCUUAUAAAAAUAGUUUGACUGGGGCGGUCAUCUCUUAAAAAAACAGAGAUUAUUUAUUUAAUUAAAUAGAGAAAAAUUUACUAUAUAUUUUUUAUUAAACACAUAUGUUUAAUAAUAUUUACUAAAUUAAAAUAUUGACCUCUUCUUAAUAAAACAUAUUUAGAAACCUUAAAAAAUAAAAAGUACUUUAGGGAUAACAGCGUAAUUCUAUCUGGAGGUCUUAUCUAAGUAUAGUGUUUGCGACCUCGAUGUUGGCUUGAGAUAACCUGAAGGUGUAGAAGCUUUCGAUGGUAGGUC
rnacentral:rRNA from 1 species